rnacentral:rRNA from 1 species
GAUGAACGCUAGCUACAGGCCUAACACAUGCAAGUCGAGGGACCUGCGCACGGUUGAGUAACACGUAUCCAACCUGCCCUUUACUCGGGGAUAGCCUUUCGAAAGAAAGAUUAAUACCCGAUGUACAGGAUGGGGAUGCGUUCCAUUUGGUUGUGGGUGAGGUAACGGCUCACCAAGCUUUCGAUGGAUAGGGGUUCUGAGAGGAAGGUCCCCCACAUUGGAACUGAGACACGGUCCAAACUCCUACGGGAGGCAGCAGUGAGGAAUAUUGGUCAAUGGGCGUUAGCCUGAACCAGCCAAGUAGCGUGAAGGAUGAAGGCUUAUGGGUCGUAAACUUCUUUUAUAUAAGAAUAUGUAUUAUAUGAAUAAGGAUCGGCUAACUCCGUGCCAGCAGCCGCGGUAAUAC